CAGUAGCCACGGUAAAACGUAGGUGGCAAGCGUUGUCCGGAAUUAUUGGGCGUAAAGGGCUCGCAGGCGGUUUCUUAAGUCUGAUGUGAAAGCCCCCGGCUCAACCGGGGAGGGUCAUUGGAAACUGGGAAACUUGAGUGCAGAAGAGGAGAGUGGAAUUCCACGUGUAGCGGUGAAAUGCGUAGAGGUGUGGAGGAACACCAGUGGCGAAGGCGACUCUCUGGUCUGUAACUGACGCUGAGGAGCGAAAGCGUGGGGAGCGAACAGGAUUAGAUACCCCAGUAGUCCCUGUCUCUUAUAC
rnacentral:rRNA from 1 species